UCGAGGAUCUUCGGCAAUGGGCGCAAGCCUGACCGAGCGACGCCGCGUGUGCGAAGAAGGCCUUCGGGUUGUAAAGCACUGUCGAGGGGGAGAAAGCCGCAAGGUUGAUCGACCCCUGGAGGAAGCACGGGCUAAGUUCGUGCCAGCAGCCGCGGUAAGACGAACCGUGCGAACGUUGUUCGGAUUCACUGGGCUUAAAGGGCGCGUAGGCGGGUCAUCAAGUCGGUGGUGAAAUCUUUCGGCUCAACCGGAAGACGGCCUCCGAUACUGGUGGUCUCGAGGGGGGUAGGGGCAUGUGGAACUUCGGGUGGAGCGGUGAAAUGCGUAGAUAUCCGAAGGAACGCCGGUGGCGAAAGCGACGUGCUGGACCCUUUCUGACGCUGAGGCGCGAAAGCCAGGGGAGCAAACGGGAUUAGAUACCCCCGUAGUCC
rnacentral:rRNA from 1 species